rnacentral:rRNA from 1 species
GGCAGCCGCCGCGGUAACACCGGCGGCCCGAGUGGUGAUCGUGAUUAUGGGUCUAAAGGGUCCGUAGCCGGUUUGGUCAGUCCUCCGGGAAAUCUGAUAGCUCAACUAUUAGGCUUUCGGGGGAUACUGCCAGACUUGGAACCGGGAGAGGUAAGAGGUACUACAGGGGUAGGAGUGGAAUCUUGUAAUCCCUGUGGGACCACCUGUGGACGAAGGCGUCUUACCAGAACGGGUUCGACGGUGAGGGACGAAAGCUGGGGGCACGAACCGGAUUAGAUACCCGGGUAGUCCCAGCCGUAAACGAUGCUCGCUAGGUGUCAGGCCAUGGCGCGACCGUGUCUGGUGCCGCAGGGAAGCCGUGAAGCGAGCCACCUGGGAAGUACGGCCGCAAGGCUGAAACUUAAAGGAAUUGGCGGGGGAGCACAACAACGGGUGGAAGCCUGCGGUUUAAUUGGACUCAACGCCGGACAACUCACCGGGGGCGACAGCAAUAUGUUAGGCCAAGCUGAAGACUUUGCCUGAAUCGCUGAGAAGAGGUGCAUGG